rnacentral:rRNA from 1 species
UGGGGAAUUUUGGACAAUGGGCGCAAGCCUGAUCCAGCCAUGCCGCGUGCAGGAUGAAGGCCUUCGGGUUGUAAACUGCUUUUGUACGGAACGAAAAGGUGCCUUCUAAUAAAGGGCGCUCAUGACGGUACCGUAAGAAUAAGCACCGGCUAACUACGUGCCAGCAGCCGCGGUAAUACGUAGGGUGCGAGCGUUAAUCGGAAUUACUGGGCGUAAAGCGUGCGCAGGCGGUUUUGUAAGACAGAGGUGAAAUCCCCGGGCUCAACCUGGGAACUGCCUUUGUGACUGCAAGGCUGGAGUGCGGCAGAGGGGGAUGGAAUUCCAUGUGUAGCAGUGAAAUGCGUAGAGAUGUGGAAGAACACCGAUGGCGAAGGCAGCUCCCUGGGUUGACACUGACGCUCAUGCACGAAAGCGUGGGGAGCAAACA